ACCUUCUAGAGCUCCCUUUGGCCUGAUCUCUGCAGAUAACCGUACACUAAUUUACACAGUCACUUGGCACUCCUCAGGGUUUCUGUUCAUUUUUCUGCCUGCCCACAUCUCCGUGAUUGAGCAAGCGAUUACAAAUUCACCUCUGCCCUGAAAAGCCUGUGUCCUCACCACCAUUCUGUUCGCCAGGCCUAGGGAGAGAGCACUGGCCCUACUCUGGGCAGGAAGUCAACAGGGGAGUGGAGAGUAAUGCUAAGAAAACAUCCCCCGUCUUUCAGGAGGGUGAACUGCUUUCCCCUGAAAUCGCCACAUCCUCAGUUUCUCAAAAUAAGGGAAAGGAGUCCGCUUGAGCUACUGACAAGAUGAAAGAACUGUUAAGGGGCCUAACGAGAGAAAGAGAAAAGGACUAGGAGGAGAAAAGUGUCUUUCGUGUUAAGGAAGACAGGACGAGGCACACAAGGACCGGCCACGAGCUUGCUAGGAGUUAAUGUAAGCAAUCAGUGAGUGCGUAGUUCGCUACCCAGCAAGAACCAAAUGCUGCUGCUGCUGCUACUGCUGCUGAAGUCGAACUUUAAGAACUCAGUAACCUAAAGAGGAGUUUGAAGAGGUAUCAUGAAACGCCGUCCUGCGGAAACAUCCACCAUCCGGACCACUGAGGGACCCCAGAACCCAACCUCCAACUGAGUGAACACGGGGAAUGCUCAGAUAGAGGUAACUCUAGACGUCCCUUUCCUCCUUUGGAAUUGUUCUAUUCAGAUGUCAGAAUGUAGCAACUGUUUCACAUACAAAUCUGUUUUCGCACUUAGAGAGCACCUAUUAUUAAGGUCUUGUUCUGGGCACAGUGAGGACAGAGAGAUAAAUCAGGACCACCCCCUGCUGUAAGGUAGCUAAGUGGGGGUGAGCCGGAGGUAUGAUGAGAUAUACACACAGUAUGAUACAAGGUAAGAAUUUUAAAUGAAAAAAAAUCCUGUGUUAAGUCACCUCAUCACUUUCAUUCUUAGCUUCCUAAACACACAUUUGAGUACUGCAUCAAGCACCAGAUCAAGCACUUACUAUGUCCUUCACAGAUAGGGCACAGACUUGUAAAAUCAUAUCUGCAAAACCUGUUUUCUUCCAACCACAAGUAGUGUGUUUUGGGAUCAAAAUAUUAUGAACUGUGAGUUAGAAAGCCUAAAUUCCAGCCCCAAUUCUGCCACUAAUCACUUUUGAAGUCCUUUACAAUUCUAAACUUCUGUAAUCAAAUCCUUUCCUGAUAAACCUGUUUUCCAACACCUGCAACAUAAUUUAUUCCAGACUUUCUCAUUCAAACUGCUUACACGUGUAUCUCCAAUAUGGCUAUAGUUGUAACAAGCACGUCAAAAAAAGAAAACUUGUCUAUCAACAGGCAUCUCUAUUGGUUUUAUUUUUUGAGACAGAGUUUCACUGUUGCCCAGGCUGGAGUGCAGUGGUGCAAUUUUGGCUCACUGCAGCCUCCACCUCCCGGGUUCAAGUGAUUCUCCUGUCUCAGCCACCUGAGUAGCUGGGUCUGCAGGCUCGCGCCACCAUGCCCAACUAAUUUUUGUAUUUUUAGUAGAGACAGUGUUUCACCAUAUUGGCCAGGCUGGUCUUUAACUCCUGACCUCAAGUGAUAUGCCCACCUUGGCCUCCCAAAGUACUGGGAUUAUAGAUGUGAGCCACUACACUUGGUCAAUUGGCUUUAAACUAAUGUAAUAUAAGCAUGUUAAUUAAAAGAUAAUAGAUGAUAAUUAAAAUGGAGUCAAAAACAAGCAUGAUUCUUUCUUUGCAUUAUUUCUUAAACUUCUUUCUGCUUUUCUAUUUUUACUCCUAAUAUUCCUAACAUCUCAUCUCAGUAUUUACUGACCUACUGACUGCUCCUUCUGCCCUUCUAAUGUAUAGCGAAUACUGUUGAAUAACAGUAUUUUAUAACGCUUUCAUAUCACUCUGUUCCUUAAGGAUUUAAUGGUUCUCCACAGUUUAUCGAACAAAUUCUAAUUCUUGCCUGGGAGUCACAAUUAUUUCACAUCUUGUAUUUUUAGUAGAGACAGGGUUUCACCAUGUUAGCCAGGAUGGUCUCGAUCUCCUGACCUCGUGUUCCGCCUGCCUUGGCCUCCCAAAGUGCUGGGAUUACAGGCGUGAGCCACCACGCCCGGCCUUUUUUUUUUUUUAAGACAAAGUCUUGCU
rnacentral:lncRNA from 10 species